rnacentral:rRNA from 1 species
CCUACGGUGCGCAGCCGUGAGGAAUAUUGGUCAAUGGACGAGAGUCUGAACCAGCCAAGUAGCGUGAAGGAUGACUGCCCUAUGGGUUGUAAACUUCUUUUAUAUGGGAAUAAAAUGGUCCACGUGUGGGAUUUUGUAUGUACCAUAAUAAUAAGGAUCGGCUAACUCCGUGCCAGCAGCCGCGGUAAUACGGAGGCUCCGAGCGUUAUCCUGAUUUAUUUGGUUUAAAGGGCGCGGAGGUGGAUUGUUAAGUCAGUUGUGAAAGUUUGCGGCUCAACAGUCAAAUUUCAGUUGAAACUGGCAGUCUUGAGUACAGUAGAGGUGGGCGGAAUUCGUGGUGUAGCGGUGAAAUGCUUAGAUAUCACGAAGAACUCCGAUUGCGAAGGCAGCUCACUGGACUGCAACUGACACUGAGGCUCGAAAGUGUGGGUAUCAAACAGGAUUAGAUACCCCAGUAGUC